rnacentral:misc_RNA from 1 species
GAUGAAGAACGUAGCGAAAUGCGAUAAGUAAUGUGGAUUGCAGAAUUCAGUGAAUCAUCGAAUCUUUGAACGCACAUUGCGCCCGCCAGUAUUCUGGCGGGCAUGCCUGUUCGAGCGUCAUUUCAACCAUCAAGCCCCAGGCUUGUGUUGGGGACCUGCGGCUGCCGCAGGCCCUGAAAACCAGUGGCGGGCUCGCUGUCACACCGGGCGUAGUAGAUUUUAUCUCGCUCAGGGCGUGCUGCGGGUUCCGGCCGUUAAAAAGCCUUUUUUACCCAAGGUUGACCUCGGAUCAGGUAGGAAGACCCGCUGAACUUAAGCAUAUCAAUAAGCGGAGGA